CAUCUUCGUCGCCACCGAAAGAGGAAGCCUGUAGGAUGGGAGAACAUUGGCCGGUAUCGAUUCUGGAAAGAGCCGAGAUGAGCCUCAACUUCAUUCAUGCCCCUUCGAUCCAUUGACUCAUCAUCUGAGACAGAUGUUGAUGGGAGCAGGCGAGAUAAAGACGGGUGAGAGAAAGAGCACGAGAGAUGGAUGGCGAGCAGGAAACAGGGAGACGGGCGGUGAGAGAGGAAGAAGGCAGGAUGAGAGAGUCAUGUAUAUGAAGGAGAAAGCUCUGCUGGCAGUCGGCCAGAGUGAUGGGAGUGUAGAGUUACAGGAAGGUCCACGUUAGAAGCACACAACAGCAGAUGUAACGUAACACCUUUUCUUCUGCAGCGAGAAAGCGCAAAGAGACCGUUUAAAGGGCUGAUGUUCUGCUAACUGACGGCGGUUGCUGGUUCGAUAAAUAGUAAAACUAGGCCUAUAACAGCUCUGUUUAUAAGGUUAAUAAGGCGUCAUGAAAGCACCAGGAGAUGCGUUCAAUGACAAAUGAAAGUCUGGGAAAAGAAACCAACAGAUGAGGUAGAGUUUGGUGAACUGGUGGGAGGAGAGAGACA